UACGGGAGGUGCAAGCGUUGUUCGGAGUGACUGGGCGUAAAGCGCACGUAGGUGGGCUUGUAAGUCGGAUGUGAAAGCCCCGGGCUUAACCUGGGAACAGCAUCCGAAACUAUAAGUCUUGAAUGCUUCAGAGGUUGGUAGAAUUCCAGGUGUAGGAGUGAAAUCCGUAGAUAUCUGGAGGAAUACCGGAGGCGAGCGGCCAACUGGAUGACUUGACACUGAGGUGCGA
rnacentral:rRNA from 1 species